GUGCUCGCUUCGGCAGCACAUAUACUAAAAUUGGGACAAUACAGAGAAAAUUAACGUUGCCCCUGUGCAAGGAUGACACACAAAUUUGUGAAGGGCUCCGUGUUUUU